AGCCGAGGACAGCGACGACCCCGAGGCGACACCCGGCCCCGAGAAGGGAGAGAGCAAGGUGUUUGCCUUGAGAAACGGUCUCGCACCCUUCCCUUAGCCCAGAAACCAGCCGCGUUUCCCCCUCUGCUCGCCUCUGCUCCGCUCCUGCUGGCUCUUCUGAGAGUUUGAGGACGGCUGCCGUGCUCUAGACUUGAAUAAGUCUUUUUGUUUUUGGUGGAUACUAAGGCAGGUUCUACAUUGAUUUUCCUUGGCAAUUCCUGAUUUCAUUAGCGGGGAGGCCUUUGGGUGUCUGACCAAAUUGUUCUAACAUGUAAAUGGGAGACAACCUGGGAUGAAGUGAGAUGUGGUUUUACCAAGCGUUUGGGGUGAGGUUGGGAGAUGAUCACCUAGGAUUUAAAAACAGUAAAGUACAGAUGUGAUGUGUUGAACUGUUAUGUUUUCUUUUCAUUCAUGAGAGUAAUAAAAUAUGAGUUUUUGAAUAUGGUAUUAUUUAUCUUAAAUCUUCCCCAAGCAACAUAGGAUGCCGAUGGAUAUUAACACCCCUUCCCCUUGAAACCGUCAGGGGAGUAGUAGCGUUUAUUUAUUUUUUUUCUGACUCUGGUUUGCGGCCAUGAUUUAUUUUCUUAUGAAUUUAUCCCAGUUGUCUUAUUGGAAAAUAAAUCAGGGCUUAGAGCCCGAUCGGCUUGUCUCCUGAACUGCAGGUACACGGUCAUACGUCUUCAGAAAGUCUCUGAAAUAGGAGGAAAGGUUAGAAAACUGGAUCAGUCGGGAUUUUUUUACACCGGAGUUUCAUGACGUGACUGGCGCUUUCUGUUCCUAGAAUAACAAUGCCCGAUUCCUCUCCAGCAAGUACUCUUCAGAGAAACGUUAAAGCAACUACAUGCUAUGUCUGCUAUGAUUCCAUGAAUUGGAAAAGACCUGAAAUCAGCCAUUUAUCCGUCCUCUGUGCUUUGAGGCAGUAUUUCAGUGACAAGAUCCACUGAGGGAAGUUGAGGCGAGGCUGGCUGAGGUUCUCAAGGAGCUGUUUUGAGUUCAGGUGCCCACAUGGCAAUGGAAUGAUGCCUCCUGACCUUUCAGACCUUUGAGACCUCUGGGCGGUCUUAGAAAUCACCUGAAGCCUCCCAUCGAGGAUCCGACCACCUGGGGGACUUCCAGGGAAAGGUGGCAGAGAUAUCAUGGACUGAAAGGUGAUGGCUACCCCAAGGAGCUCACUGCAAGGUCUCAAAGAGUCCAAGCCUCCAGCUGCUCCAACAUAUAAGGCCACCGUUCUGGAGAGGAGGAAGGAAGCCAUCCUGGAGGAGGCUCUGAUUGUUUUGGCCAGAGGACAGACCACCUUCUAGGUGUCCUGGGGAACUGCUGAAGGACAGUGAGGAAGAUGCUGCUGGUCCCCAGGACGGAAACCCAGCAGCAGGAACCAAGAGGCACCUCGCGUGGGACUCAAGCCCAGCAUCCCCUCAGAUGAAGCUCCCUGAGCUGUGGUUCUCCAUGGGACUGUUUUCGCUUUGCCUUUAUCUGCAUAAUGCACGGUGCUGGGUUUGGAUGGGCUGGCUUUCUACUUUUUUUUUUUUCCCCUCCCUGUCUUUUCUUUUUGUUCUCUUCGCCCUGGGAACUGUAAGAAGAGAAUUGCUUUAGAAAGUAUAGUUCUGUUGCUGACAUAAGCCUUGUUUAUGAACAAAUUCUGUCACUGGGGAUUUUGUGCAUUGCAGUCCCGGGUUCCCUAGUAAAUGGGGCUGCGUGGUUUGAUUUGUGUAGUACUGAUCCUUAGAUUAAAAAUACAUUUUUCUUUCUCGCUUUCUUUUUUUUUUUUAAAGUUUGGAUUCAGGUAAUGUCCUGAAUCACAUUUGCUUAGCUACUGAAGCGAUCUCAGUGUGGUAUCGCUUGGAUUUGAAAUAUAAUCAAACAUAUAUUAUACCAGGGGUGCCUGCACACUACUUGAUAUAUAUGUUGCGCUACAAAGAAACACAAACCUAAUAGGUUGAAAUUUAAUUCCUGUCUGAUCCUGCAGCUAGAACGGGGGAGAAAUUGUACACAUCAGAAAUGGCUCCAAAUACCCUGACUGUAAGCUAAGCAACAGUAAGUGGAUUAUUUCAAAAUACCCUUCUCCGAGGCAAAGCAGGAACUGGAGAUCAGCGGACCUCGUCCCCAGUCCCCAGUGUUGCUCAGGUCUGUCUGUGGAUCUGCCCGUUUUGGAGGAGCUAGAGAAUAAGGCAUGCUUCUCUGUUUAUGGAAAUUGUGGCCUUUCCGACCUGCGUUCUGUAACUGUGCCUGCCUUGCAAUAAAACGCCUUAAGUUGACUCAGCAA